rnacentral:rRNA from 1 species
AUUGAACGCUGGCGGCAGGCCUAACGCAUGCAAGUCGAACGGUAACAGGAAGAAGCUUGCUUCUUUGCUGACGAGUGGCGGACGGGUGAGUAAUGUCUGGGAAACUGCCUGAUGGAGGGGGAUAACUACUGGAAACGGUAGCUAAUACCGCAUAACGUCGCAAGACCAAAGAGGGGGACCUUCGGGCCUCUUGCCUUCGGCUGUGCCCAGAUGGGAUUAGCUAGUAGGUGGGGUAACGGCUCACCUAGGCGACGAUCCCUAGCUGGUCUGAGAGGAUGACCAGCCACACUGGAACUGAGACACGGUCCAGACUCCUACGGGAGGCAGCAGUGGGGAAUAUUGCACAAUGGGCGCAAGCCUGAUGCAGCCAUGCCGCGUGUAUGAAGAAGGCCUUCGGGUUGUAAAGUACUUUCAGCGGGGAGGAAGGGAGUAAAGUUAAUACCUUUGCUCAUUGACGUUACCCGCAGAAGAAGCACCGGCUAACUCCGUG